UUCAGCAAGUGGAUGGGAGCGGCAGCCUUUGAAAGCAUCCAGGAACCUGCUGGGUCUUUUUUCCUAAACGCCAGUGGGUAAGGUGCUUGGCAGAGCCACAGCCUGCACUGGUAACAGGAGCCAGGCGAGCUGCCAGCUGCUCAGCAUGUCCUCAGAACAGUGUCCAAAGAAACUUUCCAGGAAACAAACAGAGCCUUGGAGGAUCCCCUAAAGAUACUGACAGCAGACUGCAGGAAAUAAACUUAAAAAUAUGAAGCCCACAUUUCCAAGAGGAUCACUCCAGCUGUUAUUUGAAGAAGAGACUGAAGGCCACAGUCAAAAUUAUGUCAAGAAUGUGGGGCUUCAGUGCACAACAAAGCUCUCCCUGAAGUGACUGUACAGGAGGUCAAGCUGUCUACCUGUCUGUCUUGUGACAGAACCACACUCCCCGGCCUGCGAGUUCAGACGCAGGCAUGUGAUUAACAUUAGCACACACUCCAAAUUGAGAAAAAGAGUUGAGAAAAAUUUGUUUCCUUUCUACUACUAUGGUAAAAACGUAUUCUAGAAGCCAUUUGUGAGUUCUUGAGUGCAGAUAAAAUGGAGCAGAAACACCCAUUUCAAUGCAGUGUACAUGGAGUAACAGCAGGAAAUAAACCUGUUAUCUAAGCCAGCAGGAGUUGAAAGUGGUCUGUCUGGAGCCAGCCUAGCUCACCAAGACCCAGAGUAGUAGGUUGGCAAAUGACAGAAAACAAAUGUAGAGUGGAUGAGUCUUCGUGGUAAAUCUGCAGAGCCUGCUGAUGAGUUAGGUGCUGGGUGUUGGAAGGGAAAUAGAAGAUGGUUUGUCGGGAAUUCAACCUGAGUCACUAGGUGAAUGAUAGUGAGGACGCACAAAGUGGGAGGCUGGUGAGGAUGCUCACCCAGCCAGGCUGGCCACAUUUAAAUAAUGGCUGAAUGUGUAUUAGUUGUGGACUCUCUCGUGGAUGUUCUUUCAUCUGUGAAAUGAAAAUAAAAGCAGCAUUUAUUUCAUGCAACUAUCUAACCAACUAGCCUCAAAGCACCUAGUCCUGGUCUCAUAUUCUCUUUAGAGCUAAAGCAUAAAGUUUAAACUUUUCUCUCCAAGAGAGGACUGAUCAGAUUGGCAUUAGAGCUCCAAAAUAAAUGACAGUGUUGCUGUCCUUAUUGUCUUCACAUCUAA